rnacentral:RNase_P_RNA from 3 species
GCGGAGGGCCGGAUGGCCGCUGGGGCGAACGCCCGAGAGGAAAGUCCGGACUCCACGAGGCAACGGUGCCGGGUAACGCCCGGGCGGGGAAACCCGACGGAAAGCGCCACAGAAAUCAAACCGCCCCGCCUUGGCGGGGUAAGGGUGAAACGGUGGGGUAAGAGCCCACCGCGCCCCUGGCGACAGGGGUGGCACGGCAAGCCCCACCGGGAGCAAUGCCGAAUAGGAUCCCCACGCGGGCAGGUCGGCGCCAGCCGAAACCGCCGCUAGGCGCGCCUUGGCCGAGAGGGAUCGGGUUGGCAGCUUGAGCCGCGCAGCAAUGCACGGCCUAGAGGAAUGGUCAUCGAAGGGGGCAACCCCGGAACAGGAUCCGGCUUACAGGCCCUCCGCGCGU